rnacentral:lncRNA from 1 species
CACUGACUGAGAACAAUCAAACCCUUCACAAUCUAGAACCUGGAGAUUCUGAGAACAUCAGAGAAAGACCGCCCUUGCCACUCAUACUUCAGCAAAACUUUGGCACCUUGGACCUUGGGUUCAUAAUCUCACAACUCAGAAGGACCCCUCCAGACUCUUAGAACUGUAUACCCCUUGGAGAUGGAUUCUGCAGCCAGCUUUACACAUGGACAAUCUCAUGCCUUGACAGAUGGACUUUAUCAUGGAAGUAGCAAGCUGAAGACCCAAACAGGAAACACCAUUAAUACUAUCAAGUGGUUAUCAUAUCAUUUGUGACAUAUACAGACAAGCUAUGAGAGUGAAUGUA